UACAGAGGGCUCAAGCGUUGUUCGGAUUCAUUGGGCGUAAAGGGUGCGUAGGUGGCUCCAUAAGUCAGGUGUGAAAUCUCGGGGCUCAACCCCGAAACUGCACUUGAUACUGUGGUGCUGGAGUACUGGAGAGGAGAUUGGAAUUUACGGUGUAGCAGUGAAAUGCGUAGAUAUCGGGAGGAACAUCAGUGGCGAAAGCGGCUUCCUGGACCAGAACUGACGAUCAGGCUCGAAAGCGUGGGGAGCAAACAGG
rnacentral:rRNA from 1 species